rnacentral:lncRNA from 1 species
CUCUUCACAUCAAUUUAUCCAUUCAAUCUUUACCUUCUUUAGCUAUAUCCUUGUAAAAAAAACACAAUUUGCUGAGGGUCUCGUCAUCACUUUUGCACACAAAAAUUAAUAUAAUCUCAAUCUAAACUAUAUUAUUUUUCUCUUGGGAAAGUUGUCAACAUCUCUUAUUCAAUCAACAGUAGUGGAAUAUUUUUGCUUUCACACGAAGAUCUGGUAAGUAUUUCCAAAUAUUUUGGUUAUUAUAACUUUGCUAUGUAUUUUUGUCUUGUG